CUUUGCUCUGGGGAAAGCCAGAUGCCAUGUUCUGAGCCACAUGGCAGAGAACUGACAUCUCCAGACAACAUCUGGCGGAGACCCAAGGCUGCCAACAGUUGUAGGAAAAAAGUCUGUGAAAUUGCCUUGGAAUACGGUCUUUCAGCAGCAUAAACAAGUCCAGCAAAGUGUGGUCCGUGGAGCACUGUGAUUCACAAACUGUUACUGAUCCACUGCAAGGUAAACACAGAAACUAAGGAAUCAGUUCCAAACAGUAAAGCCUGCCAGAAAAAACAGACAAACUCUCAGGAACAACAAUGCCCAUUAUGUGUGGGGUAGGAGCUGCCAGAUUUUGAUUACUGGACAGACAUUAACCCCUUUGGUGUCCUUUUGGGGAAAUGCCAAGUCUGAACGCAGACACUUCCAGGAUUUUACACUCACUUGUGGUGUGAGAGUAGGCGAUUUAUAAUGACUUGUGCAAAAAAGGACUGUUGUGAGAAGGAGGUACAAGUUCAAGGCCACAUGUCCUUGUUUCCUGCAUUCCUGCAUUCUGCCGGGACUCAUUCUGGCGAGUGGACACAGAUUCAAUCACCUCUGCUUUUCUCUUUGUGAGCCUGCUGGUCGUGGGCGAGGAGAACUCUGCCCUGCCAUCUGCCCUGGGGUGUUCAGCUGGCUGCCCCAAGGAAAGGGGCAAAAUUAGCAUUCACAGAAGAAAACCUGUGGGUUUCCUGAGGCCAGCAUUUAUGGCAAAGGUGCUAGAAAGGAGAAUUCCUGAAAAAUGUUUUCUGAUCAGUUUUUUUCCCCUCUGUCGUAUACCCUGUAUGUGGACAGACUAUAUCGCAUUUUGAGAGUUUAGAUAAGCAGAGAGCCAUGCAAUCUCUAGUGGGAGGAUAGCAGUGUAUAUGUAUUAUGUGUUUAUAUGUGUGUUUCAUUUGUCCUUUUACUUUACUCUUUAAUAUAUAUUUAUUGAUAGUCCACUGUAGUACAGCUGGAAUACCAAGUUAAUUACAGUAAUAACAAUGCCUACCAUUUAUCAAGAACUUAUUCUUGUCAGUGUUAUGUUAAACACUUCACAAACAUGUGCUUAAAUUUACAUACUCCUUUAAAAAACUAUGAAAUAGCUCCAUUUUACACAUUAGGAAAUUAAGUCCCAGAAAAGCCAAGGGCCCUGGCUACAGAGCUAGGAUUCAUAUCCAGGUCUAUGUGAUACAAAACCCAUUCCUUUCUUCAUUUUGCCAAACUGCCUUCCUAAAGAUGAGUUGAAACGAAAAUGCAUUUACUUUAUUUUUUGGAAUUCACAUUCUGGUUGGCACGAAGGGUGUGUGAUGCAGAGUGAAAAAGGUUCAAACAUGGCUGUGCACUAAAUACCGUGAUUGAUUGUGCUGGAAGGCAGUGGGAGGUGGGAAGGGGUAGAGCAAGGCGCCAUCGAGACAGUAGUUCUUGGAAGAU